CCUACGGGUGGCAGCAGUGGGGAAUAUUGCACAAUGGGCGAAAGCCUGAUGCAGCAACGCCGCGUGAAGGAAGAAGGGUUUCGGCUCGUAAACUUCUAUCAACAGGGACGAAAGAAAUGACGGUACCUGAAUAAGAAGCCCCGGCUAACUACGUGCCAGCAGCCGCGGUAAUACGUAGGGGGCAAGCGUUAUCCGGAUUUAUUGGGUUUAAAGGGUGCGCAGGCGGCGUGUCAAGUCAGCGGUAAAAUGUCGGGGCUCAACCCCGGCCGGCCGUUGAAACUGGCGUGCUCGAGUUGGAGAGAAGUAUGCGGAAUUCGUGGUGUAGCGGUGAAAUGCAUAGAUAUAACGAAGAACCCCGAUUGCGAAGGCAGCAUACCGGCUCCACACUGACGCUGAGGCACGAAAGCGUGGGUAGCGAACAGGAUUAGAUACCCCAGUAGUC
rnacentral:rRNA from 1 species